rnacentral:rRNA from 1 species
CCUACGGGGGGCAGCAGUGGGGAAUAUUGGGCAAUGGGCGCAAGCCUGACCCAGCAACGCCGCGUGAAGGAAGAAGGCUUUCGGGUUGUAAACUUCUUUUCUCAGGGACGAAGAAAGUGACGGUACCUGAGGAAUAAGCCACGGCUAACUACGUGCCAGCAGCCGCGGUAAUACGUAGGUGGCAAGCGUUAUCCGGAUUUACUGGGUGUAAAGGGCGUGUAGGCGGGGAAGCAAGUCAGAUGUGAAAACCACGGGCUCAACCUGUGGCCUGCAUUUGAAACUGGUUUUCUGGAGUACUGGAGAGGCAGACGGAAUUCCUGGUGUAGGGGUGAAAUGCGUAGAGAUUAGGAGGAACACCAGUGGCGAAGGCGAUCUGCUGGA